AGGAUUUGGAUUAUGGUUUGGAUUAGGAUUUGGUUAGAGUUUGAUUUAAGGUUUGGUUUAGGAUUUAGAAUUUGGAUUAGAAUUUAUGAUUGGAUUAGGAUUUGGAUUAGGGUUUGGAUUAGGGUUUAGGAUUUGGUUAGGGUUUGAUUUAGGAUUUGGAUUAGGAUUUGGUUAGGAUUUGAUUUAAGGUUUGAUUUAGGGUUUAGGAUUGGAUUAGGGUUUGGUUUAGGGUUUGAUUUAGGGUUUGGUUUAGGGUUUAGGGUUUGGAAUAGGGUUUAAUUUAAGAUUUGUUUAGGAUUUGACUUAGGGUUUAGGAAUUAUUAGGGUUUAAUAUUUAAUUAGGUUUGGUCUAAAGUUGAGUGAAAUUCAAUAGGAUUUUAACUAGAAUUAAAUUAAGGUUGAAUUGACAUAUAUUUGAGUAAAAUUUGUGAUCAUUCUAAUAUUUCUUUAAGAAUUUUAUUGUUUGUUUGAAAUUUCUUUGAGUUGUUUUGAAUUGGAUUACGUUUGUUUACCAUUAUUAUAGUCUAAUUAGAGAAUUGUUAGUAUUCUAUUUAGGAUUUUGUUAUCGCAAUUUCUAUUCUUCCUUCUACAGCC
rnacentral:lncRNA from 1 species